ACGAACGCUGGCGGCGUGCCCAACACAUGCAAGUCGAGCGUGAAAGUCCCUUCGGGGGCAAGUAAAGCGGCAGACGGGUGAGUAAUACAUAGGUAAUCUACCUUCGAGAUUGGGAUAACCCUGCGAAAGUGGGGCUAAUACCGGAUAAGACUACGUGGCUCAGGCCGCGUGGUAAAAGGUGGCUUAUUUUUUAAAUGAGCUAUCACUUGAGGAUGAGCCUGUGGCCUAUCAGCUUGUUGGUGAGGUAAGAGCUCGCCAAGGCUAUGACGGGUAGCUGGUCUGAGAGGACGACCAGCCACACUGGGACUGAGACACGGCCCAGACUCCUACGGGAGGGAGCAGUGGGGAAUAUUGGGCAAUGGGCGAAAGCCUGACCCAGCGACGCCGCGUGGGCGAUGAAGGCCUUCGGGUUGUAAACCCCUUUUCAUGAGGAAGAAAUAUGAAGGUACUCGUGGAAUAAGUCUUGGCUAACUACGU
rnacentral:rRNA from 1 species